UUAUUUGUGCUUUAGUAUUUGAUAUGAUUUGCUAGUAGUGAUCAAUUUUGUGAUAUAGAAAAUACUUUUGGAAAUAUAAUCAAAUCAUUUCAUUUUACUCACUAUUGGAUAAGUUGCAAAAUGAUUAAUUUAUUAAGAAUAAUCCUAUGAAUUCUCUAUAUGCUUGAUUGAGAGUUUUUAUCCAUGGCAUUAUUGUUUAUUGAUCAUAGAUAUGAUAAUGUGUACUUGGUAUGUUUUUGAAUAUAUGCACUAUGAAUACCAAGAUUAAAGAAACCAUCUUUAGCAUACAAAAUCAACUCAUGCUAGUAUGUACUUAAUCUCAAAAGACCUUGCCAUUG
rnacentral:lncRNA from 1 species